rnacentral:rRNA from 1 species
AGGGUUUGAUCAUGGCUCAGAACGUACGCUGGCGGCACGCCUAACACAUGCAAGUCGAACGCAGUAGCAAUACUGAGUGGCAGACGGGUGAGUAACAUGUGGGAAUCUGCCUUGUGGUUCAGGACAACAUUGGGAAACCGAUGCUAAUACUGGAUAAGCCCUUACGGGGAAAGUUUUAAUGCCAUAAGAUGAGCCCGCAUUUGAUUAGUUAGUUGGUGAGGUAAUGGCUCACCAAGACAAUGAUCAAUAGCUGAUCUGAGAGGAUGAUCAGCCACACUGGGACUGAGACACGGCCCAGACUCCUACGGGAGGCAGCAGUGGGGAAUCUUGCACAAUGGAGGAAACUCUGAUGCAGCGAUGCCGCGUGAGUGAAGAAGGCCUUUGGGUUGUAAAGCUCUUUUGUAGGGGAAGAUAAUGACUGUACCCUAAGAAUAAGGUCCGGCUAACUUCGUGCCAGCAGCCGCGGUAAUACGAAGGGACCUAGCGUAGUUCGGAAUUACUGGGCGUAAAGCGCGCGUAGGCCGUUGAGUUAGUUAAUUGUGAAAUCCCAAAGCUUAACUUUGGAACUGCAAUUAAAACUGCUCGACUAGAGUUUGAUAGAGGAAAGCGGAAUACAUAGUGUAGAGGUGAAAUUCGUAGAUAUUAUGUAGAACACCAGUUGCGAAGGCGGCUUUCUGGGUCAACACUGACGCUGAGGCGCGAAAGUAUGGGUAGCAAAGAGGAUUAGAUACCCUCGUAGUCCAUACCAUAAACGAUGAUUGCUAGAUGUUGGAAAUUUAUUUUCAGUAUCGCAGCUAACGCAUUAAGCAAUCCGCCUGGGGAGUACGACCGCAAGGUUAAAACUCAAAUGAAUUGACGGGGACCCGCACAAGCGGUGGAGCAUGUGGUUUAAUUCGAAGAUACGCGCAGAACCUUACCAACCCUUGACAUGUCUGUCGCGAGUUUAGGAAACUAGACUUUUCGGUUCGGCCGGACAGAACACAGGUGCUGCAUGGCUGUCGUCAGCUCGUGUCGUGAGAUGUUGGGUUAAGUCCCGCAACGAGCGCAACCCCUACUUUUAGUUGCCAUCAGGUCAUGCUGGGCACUCUGAAAGAACUGCCAGUGAUAAGCUGGAGGAAGGUGGGGAUGACGUCAAGUCCUCAUGGCCCUUAUGUCCAGGGCUACACACGUGCUACAAUGGCCGACACAAACCGCUGCAGAAUCGUAAGAUGAAGCUAAUCGGAGAAAAUCGGCCUCAGUUCGGAUUGAGGUCUGCAACUCGACCUCAUGAAGUUGGAAUCGCUAGUAAUCGUAUAUCAGAACGAUACGGUGAAUACGUUCCCGGGCCUUGUACACACCGCCCGUCACAUCACGAAAGCCGGAAGCACUUGAAGAGGCUGUGGUAACCGCAAGGAGCUAGGUCUCAAUGGUGAAUUUGGUGAUUGGGGUGAAGUCGUAACAAGGUAACCGUA